UGCAAGUCGAGCGAACCUUGAAGAGCUUGCUCUCAAAGGUGAGCGGCGGACGGGUGAGUAACACGUGGGCAACCUGCCUGCAAGAUCGGGAUAACUCCGGGAAACCGGGGCUAAUACCGGAUAAUGCAUUUCGCUGCAUGGCGGAAUGCUAAAAGGCGGCUUCGGCUGUCACUUGCAGAUGGGCCCGCGGCGCAUUAGCUAGUUGGGGAGGUAACGGCUCCCCAAGGCGACGAUGCGUAGCCGACCUGAGAGGGUGAUCGGCCACACUGGGACUGAGACACGGCCCAGACUCCUACGGGAGGCAGCAGUAGGGAAUUUUCCGCAAUGGGCGCAAGCCUGACGGAGCAACGCCCGCGUGAGUGAGGACGGCUUUCGGGUUGUAAAACUCUGUUCUUCGGGAAGAACGGUGGUCGGGUGAAUGGCCCGAUUGCGUGACGGUACCGAAGGAGAAAGCCCCGGCUAACUACGUGCCAGCCGCUGC
rnacentral:rRNA from 1 species